rnacentral:rRNA from 1 species
GAUGAACGCUGGCGGCGUGCCUAAUACAUGCAAGUCGAGCGAACAGACGAGGAGCUUGCUCCUCUGACGUUAGCGGCGGACGGGUGAGUAACACGUGGAUAACCUACCUAUAAGACUGGGAUAACUUCGGGAAACCGGAUCUAAUACCGGAUAAUAUAUUGAACCGUAUGGUUCAAUAGUGAAAUACGGUUUUGCUGUCACUUAUAGAUGGAUCCGCGCCGCAUUAGCUAGUUGGUAAGGUAACGGCUUACCAAGGCAACGAUGCGUAGCCGACCUGAGAGGGUGAUCGGCCACACUGGAACUGAGACACGGUCCAGACUCCUACGGGAGGCAGCAGAAGGGAAUCUUCCGCAAUGGGCGAAAGCCUGACGGAGCAACGCCGCGUGAGUGAUGAAGGUCUUCGGAUCGUAAAACUCUGUUAUUAGGGAAGAACAAAUGUGUAAGUAACUAUGCACGUCUUGACGGUACCUAAUCAGAAAGCCACGGCUAACUACGUG